AUCUAGCCAUGGGCAGGUUGAAGGUUGGGUAACACUAACUGGAGGACCGAACCGACUAAUGUUGAAAAAUUAGCGGAUGACCUGUGGCUGGGGGUGAAAGGCCAAUCAAACCGGGAGAUAGCUGGUUCUCCCCGAAAGCUAUUUAGGUAGCGCCUCGUGAACUCAUCUCCGGGGGUAGAGCACUGUUUCGGCUAGGGGGCCAUCCCGGCUUACCAACCCGAUGCAAACUGCGAAUACCGGAGAAUGUUAUCACGGGAGACACACGGCGGGUGCUAACGUCCGUCGUGAAGAGGGAAACAACCCAGACCGCCAGCUAAGGUCCCAAAGUCAUGGUUAAGUGGGAAACGAUGUGGGAAGGCACAGACAGCCAGGAUGUUGGCUUAGAAGCAGCCAUCAUUUAAAGAAAGCGUAAUAGCUCACUGGUCGAGUCGGCCUGCGCGGAAGAUGUAACGGGGCUAAACCAUGCACCGAAGCUGCGGCAGCGACACGUAUGUGUUGUUGGGUAGGGGAGCGUUCUGUAAGCCUGUGAAGGUGUGCUGUGAGGCAUGCUGGAGGUAUCAGAAGUGCGAAUGCUGACAUAAGUAACGAUAAAGCGGGUGAAAAGCCCGCUCGCCGGAAGACCAAGGGUUCCUGUCCAACGUUAAUCGGGGCAGGGUGAGUCGACCCCUAAGGCGAGGCCGAAAGGCGUAGUCGAUGGGAAACAGGUUAAUAUUCCUGUACUUGGUGUUACUGCGAAGGGGGGACGGAGAAGGCUAUGUC
rnacentral:rRNA from 1 species